rnacentral:lncRNA from 1 species
UUAGAAUUUCCAAAAAUAGGAACUGCAGCUGCAGUUCGUCCUCCCGAGCCCAGAUUUCGGCCUCUCUCUUCCACCGGCCAUAUCUCCCUCCACAGACCUCCGAUCGACUUGAUUCCAAAAGUAAUUUCAUUCGCCUUGAAGUCAGUUAAAACUUCCUAGAAGACAUCAAAGUGAGAAAAGAACCGUGGAAGGCGCUAGGAGGCCGAGAAGCUGCACAGCUCGAGCUGGAAUUCGCCGAUGCUGCUCUUCCUUCACCUGCCGAUAUCUCUCUCAUCCGACCUCGAAUCGAGUUGAUUCCAAAAGGGAUUUUGCUGGGCUUGAGCUAUAUUACAAUUUUGUAGAAGACAUUGAGGGGCAAUAACCAACGUGGUAGCCGCUACAAGUCGAAGAACACGGUGCAGUCGAGUUAGAAAUCACCUCUUUUCCCUACCAUCGUUCUCCCUCCUCCGGCCACCUUUUACCGUGAUUCUUGAGGGGAUUCUGUACUUCUGAGGAUGUAGAUCAUUUCCCCUAAGGUGGAUUGCAUCGAUUUCAUCUGUGGAGAUCGAAUUGGAACUAAUUCAAAACUAGGGUUCUUCGGGUUUCAAACCUUAUGAGGUGGGUGACAGUUUGAGUUGACGAGCGUUUGGAAUAUCGUUAUAUUUGACUUUUUAGAAGACGCAGCUGGAUUAGAGGUGAGUAAACCUCACGUGGUUCAUAUUACGAACCGAGUACCUUUAAUUACUCUAUUUUCUGUGGUAAUUGUGUGAAAAUAUUUAUGGAAUAAAUAUUUGUUUUAAAUCAUAUGGACUUGAUCAACUACGGUCCAUAGGUAAGUAAAAUGAUUUCAUUAUACAAAUGAAUUUCACGGUUUUUAUACUUAAACUAUAGUUGGUAUUAGUAGUCAUUCCUGAGCGGAUGAUUACGUAUAUAUAUAUUUACGUGAAAUAUAUAUUGAUUGGCGUGUGAUUAGCAUGAUGAAAUGAUUGAGAAUUGAUUGGAUAUUAUUCAAGCUAUUAAUCUCCCAUUUAAUUGUUGAAUAAUGAAAUGUUGAUCAUGUGAUGUGAAAGCUAUUUUAUAUGGCCAAUUGUGAAUAUGUGGAAAUUAUUUUAAGAAGUAAAGAUUUAUCUUGAAAUAAUAUGUCUCUUUAUAUGGGUGUGCAUAUACAUUUAUACAAUCUAAAAUUUAUAAAGAUUGUAUGUUGUGAAUUUGAUUAUGUCUGAAAAAUAUAAUUAUGAAGCCGGGUGAUUACAACAACCCCGUGCUUAAGUGAAUUACUGGUAAAUGUGCUUCGUGGUUGUGCUUCGUGGUUAUGCUUCGUGGUUGUGCUUCGUGGUUAUGCUUCGUGGUUGUGCUUCGUGGAAGCUGUGGGCUUUAGUCCCUUCAGAUAGUGCACUAUUAUACUCUUAGGAAGUGUGCUUACUUUGAGUAUACAUACCUUAGUUGUGUCUUUGGUAUGCUGCGGCUUACCCGUACUUUGGGAAUAGUACGUCGGUCCCUAGUACGUGGAUUUGUGAUUUGUUACCAGUUAAUCUGAAAAUUCACUAAAAAGAGAAAUAUACUUAUGUGAAAUUGAUCAAAUAUCUAUCUAUGAUAUAUUUUGAAUAUGUGAAGGUGUUUGUGA